UUUCCGUAGGUGAACCUGCGGAAGGAUCAUUAUCGAAUUUCGAGGGGAAGGAAGAUGAGGAGUGGAGACUGACGCUGGCUUUCCCGCCUGGGAAGCAUGUGCACGCCUUGCUUUUCGUUGACCUUUCUCUUACUCUCAUACCUGUGCACCCAUUGUAGGUCCUCGAAAGAGGAUCUAUGUUUUUAUCAUCACACGCAUCGUAUGUCCAUAGAAUGUAACAUGAUCGUCGAUCGACCUCGCGGUCGGGUGGCGGUCUAAAUAAAUAAAUACAACUUUCAGCAACGGAUCUCUUGGCUCUC
rnacentral:misc_RNA from 1 species